GAUGGGGAUGCGUCCGAUUAGCUUGUUGGCGGGGUAACGGCCCACCAAGGCAUCGAUCGGUAGGGGUUCUGAGAGGAAGGUCCCCCACACUGGAGCUGAGACACGGUCCAGACUCCUACGGGAGGCAGCAGUGAGGAAUAUUGGUCAAUGGACGCAAGUCUGAACCAGCCAAGUAGCGUGCAGGAUGACGGCCCUCCGGGUUGUAAACUGCUUUUAGUUGGGAAUAAAAGGGGGCUCGUGAGCCCCGUAUUGUAUGUACCAUCAGAAAAAGGACCGGCUAAUUCCGUGCCAGCAGCCGCGGUAAUACGGAAGGUCCGGGCGUUAUCCGGAUUUAUUGGGUUUAAAGGGAGCGUAGGCCGGCUUUUAAGUCAGCUGUGAAAGUCCGCGGCUCAACCGUGGAAUUGCAGUUGAAACUGGAGGCCUUGAGUGCACACAGGGAUGCCGGAAUUCAUGGUGUAGCGGUGAAAUGCUUAGAUAUCAUGAAGAACUCCGAUCGCGAAGGCAAGUGUCCGGNGUGCAACUGACGCUGNGGCUCGAAAGUGCGGGUAUCAAACAGGAUUAGAUACCCUGGUAGUCCGCACCGUAAACGAUGAAUACUCGUGUCC
rnacentral:rRNA from 1 species